AAGAGGAAAAUCAGUUCAGCCAAAGGAACAGUAAAGGAAGAGCCCAAGAGGUGAUCGGUAUGGUUGUCAGCUAAACCUGCUCCUGAAAAAGUGGAAAUAAAGCCAAGAAGUGGCGGGGGUGGGGGGCGGGGUGUGUAUGGGGUGAAUAGCAGGAAAGGAUAAAUCUUCAGACAAAAAAGUGCAAACAAAAGGGAAACGGGAGCAAUGGGAAAACAGGCUGAAGUGGCUGACCAAGAAAUUAAAGAAGAUUUACCUUCAGAAAAUGAAGAAACUAAAACAGAGAAGAGUCCAGCCUUUGAUAAAGCCAGAGAGAAAGAAGCCGAGUCUGAUUAA
rnacentral:lncRNA from 1 species